rnacentral:lncRNA from 1 species
ACUUCAGAAUUAGAGACCUGAGAAAGAUCUCUCUUUCUCUCUGCCCUCUGAAGAUACAGCAGGCAGACAGCCAUCUAUAAGCCAGGAAGAGGACUCCUACUAGGACCUGAGCUGGGCUGUACCUUCAUCUUGGACUUGCCAGUCUUCAGAACUAUUUCUCUCCGGUGAAAUCAUUUCAGUGACUAAGAAAAGUUUCACCCGCUGGCCACCUGCUGUCUGGGAUGAGGGCUCUGUGGGACACCCAUCAUUGUUUGCACUGCUUGGUUCGAGUGACGCAAGACCCAAGCAGCAACCUGCGCCGGUAUUGGCCUCUCUCAGUGCCUCGGGCCUUGUUCUAGACAAUAUUUCUUUUUAGGCUAAGGGGUGGCAGGCUGCCCACACUGCUUUAUUCCCAGUACCAAAUGAAA